UACGUAGGGGGCUAGCGUUGUCCGGAAUCAUUGGGCGUAAAGCGCGUGUAGGCGGCCCGGUAAGUCCGCUGUGAAAGUCGGGGGCUCAACCCUCGGAUGCCGGUGGAUACUGUCGGGCUAGAGUACGGAAGAGGCGAGUGGAAUUCCUGGUGUAGCGGUGAAAUGCGCAGAUAUCAGGAGGAACACCGGUGGCGAAGGCGCUGCUCUGGGCCGGUACUGACGCUGAGGAGCGAAAGCGUGGGUAGCAAACAGG
rnacentral:rRNA from 1 species